rnacentral:rRNA from 1 species
UACGUAGGUGGCAAGCGUUAUCCGGAUUUAUUGGGUGUAAAGGGCGUGUAGGCGGGAAUGCAAGUCAGAUGUGAAAACUCAGGGCUCAACCCUGAGCCCGCAUUUGAAACUGUAUUUCUUGAGUGCUGGAGAGGCAAUCGGAAUUCCGUGUGUAGUGGUGAAAUGCGUAGAUAUACGGAGGAACACCAGUGGCGAAGGCGGAUUGCUGGACAGUAACUGACGCUGAGGCGCGAAAGCGUGGGGAGCAAACAGG